AUGGCGGGCGCCCAGGCCGGCGGAUGGCUACGCUGCGGCGGGAUGCGCGAGCGAGCGAAGGGGUGGUGUGUCGGCGUUCUGGCGAAGGGGAAAAAGCCCUGUCGUCUCCUGUGGUCACCCCGAGCCCAGCGCCACCAUCUUGGGAGAAACACGGAUCUCGCGGCAGCGACGCAAGACGGGAGGACUGGCUGGGCGGGCCGAGUAUCCCGUCAGGCAGCGCGCGCCACCAGGCCGGGCGAAGGCUCCAGGCAGGGAAGCGGGGACGUGGGGCGGGGCGGAGGCGCGCGCGGGAGGGUGCUGCGCUCCGCCCCUCCAUCCCUCGCCGGCUCCGUCCUCCUCCCGCUUCCCGUCGCCGCCGGCGCAGGGGCCAUAGGGAAGGGGAGGUGGUCUGCGGCUCCUCGGAGUCCCACCAGGGUCGGUCGCCAUUUUGGGACUGGACCUAAAGGGUGUAGAGUAAAAACAACAGUUUAAUUUUGUAAACAUAGGCAUUAAUGCCUUGAACAAACUUUGAACUUCUGUUUACCAAGAGCUAUUUAUGUGCUAGGCCUUGGACUGCAUGAAGUAUGCGAGCUACUAUUUAUGUGCCUUGCCUUGGGAAACAAUAAAAGAUCAACAGUCCCUAUCCCUGCCCUCAAGAACUCCCAGUUCAAGAGGAAGUCACACCUAUAAGACUGUGGACACUUUUUCAGAGUAACCCAACACUGCAUUGAUUAUGAAGCAGUUCCGUCAGGUGCAUACCAUUACACCUAAUGAAGAAACCGAGGCCUACAGAAAUGAAGUAA